GUGACGGCUAGCAGUCGUAACCAAUCAAUGCUCAGCUUUAUGCUCUUUCUUUUUAUAUUUUCUUCUUCUUCGCCCUAGUAGUUGUCUUGGGAUAUAUGGCUAGCACUCGGGCGGGCCUAUAAAUAUGAUAGAAGAAAGUUUGAGUUGAGAUUUUAAUUUUACUUUUCGAGAAGUCCCCUCUCAGAUCUGGAACUAUCUUUAGUUUCCAUACUGAGAUACAUCAGGCAGGUGCUGAGACCACUGUGCCCAAGAGAUAUUAAACAUAGAAGAAAAGUUAGUUUCGCAAAAAGCACCCCCCCCCCCCCCCAAAAAAAAA